UUAGAGGCCUAUAUAAAAGCGCCAGCAUUCCACUCUCAGUCAUUACAGACUGCACAAGCUGAGAGUAGAGAAACCACGAGUGCUGCUGCCACCGCCGCUGCGAGGAAACAGUGACAACAUGAUCUUCACCGCAGAGAAGCUUCCAUGUGGUUUUCAUGUGGCGACGUCUACACAGAGAGCACUGAUGCAGAGGGGAGAGCUCAGCGCCAUCCACCCACCUGAUCAGUUUACAUGUUGUUGUUUUUUUUAGUUAAAAUAAAGCUACAUUUUACACUUUUUUUCCACACAAUGAAUAUAACCUUCACAGUUUAACACGCACUUCUUCAAAAACACUUUGCCUGCACUCUACACUUCAGUUUCCCUUCCUAAGAUAUUUUUGAUUGAGUGUUUACAGGAGAGUAUGCAGCUUUUGAAACACAUGGUGCAUCCAUACCUCCUCUAUAAGUCUCACCUGUGCAGCAUCAGGUCCUGAACAUAAGACUGGACGAGACUCCAUAAAACCACUAUGCAAACCUCUUCACCCAGCUGCAGCCAUUGCUUGCUUUAAAUAUUAUUCAGUAUGCAGUAUUCUGAUUGGCUUCAGGUGAACCUUAGGCCACUCCUCCAGCAACUUGUUCUAGUUGGGUAUGAAUAGUGCAAAUUAUAUGUAAAUCACUUCUGAAACAAUAUGCUGGAGCACGCA